CUGCUGAGUAGUCAGCUCCUCUGAUAACUAGAGGACUUAGCUUGUUACUCAGAAGGCAAAAUUAAGGAUUUUCCACGUGAGCAAGGGGGGGAAAAAGUGUAGCAACAGUUUUGGUGUUGUUCCUCUGUUGUUCAGAAUCUCUCAGGCUUGUCUCUGCUUGUCAGAGUCUCCUGAGCUCUGCCUUGCUGUUAUAUUGCUGCGGCGCUGUCUUUGUUGAUGGAGUAGAGAAUACACUUAACAACGGAGGGUCAUAGUGAACUGUGGAUGGAAUGCUCUUUCAUGAGGACUUUGGAGGCUAAAGUCAGAAUUCAAAAUGAUCUUAAAAUGGAGAAGUGGACUCAAGCAUUAAGCAUAGGUGGGCUUUGCCUGUGGUUUUAAAGUCCACAACCUGUAGUCCCGGGAUGGACCGUAGCCAGUGCUCCCUGCAGUGCCUGAGCCGUCUGUGCAAAGGAUGGAUUGAUCCCCCCUACUCAUCUCCCACAGGCUGGAUGAAGAGGACAUUUGGCUGGCAGCCUCUUUCGCCGCCUUCCCCACGUGUCCCUGGGAGAACUCUGGUCCUCUGGAGCUCCUGGCUCGGUGACUGGUCAAAUCUGCCUAGGAUGGGUU
rnacentral:lncRNA from 1 species